CGGUAGUCUGACCUUUUGGUCCCAUACCUGUCGGACUAUCAAGGGACAACUGUAUUUUAAUAUUAGGACAGUUAUAUAAGGUUUAGGUUAGUUUAGUUAGUUUUAUAUAAGGGCAGUUGUCAUAAUAAGUCACAACAAAAA
rnacentral:lncRNA from 1 species